AGUGAACACUGGCGGUAGGCCUAACACAUGCAAGUCGAACGGCAGCACAGGAGAGCUUGCUCUCUGGGUGGCGAGUGGCGGACGGGUGAGGAAUACAUCGGAAUCUACUCUGUCGUGGGGGAUAACGUAGGGUAACUUACGCUAAUACCGCAUACGACCUACGGGUGAAAGCAGGGGAUCUUCGGACCUUGCGCGAUUGAAUGAGCCGAUGUCGGAUUAGCUAGUUGGCGGGGUAAAGGCCCACCAAGGCGACGAUCCGUAGCUGGUCUGAGAGGAUGAUCAGCCACACUGGAACUGAGACACGGUCCAGACUCCUACGGGAGGCAGCAGUGGGGAAUAUUGGACAAUGGGCGCAAGCCUGAUCCAGCCAUACCGCGUGGGUGAAGAAGGCCUUCGGGUUGUAAAGCCCUUUUGUUGGGAAAGAAAUCCAGCUGGCUAAUACCCGGUUGGGAUGACGGUACCCAAAGAAUAAGCACCGGCUAACUUCGUGCCAGCCGCCGCCGUAA
rnacentral:rRNA from 1 species